rnacentral:rRNA from 1 species
GCAAGUCGAGGGGUAACAGGGAGCUUGCUCCGCUGACGACCGGCGCACGGGUGCGCACCGCGUAUGGAACCUACCUUGUACAGGGGAAUAGCCCAGGGAAACUUGGAUUAAUGCCCCGUAGUACCACGACCUGGCAUCAGGAUGUGGUUAAAGCCUUCGGGCGGUAUAAGAUGGCCAUGCGUCCCAUUAGUUUGUUGGUAAGGUAACGGCUUACCAAGACUACGAUGGGUAGGGGCCCUGAGAGGGGGAUCCCCCACACUGGUACUGAGACACGGACCAGACUCCUACGGGAGGCAGCAGUGAGGAAUAUUGGACAAUGGAGGAGACUCUGAUCCAGCCAUGCCGCGUGCAGGAAGAAUGCCCUAUGGGUAGUAAACUGCUUUUAUACAGGAAGAAAAAGAGCUACGUGUAGCUUACUGACGGUACUGUAAGAAUAAGGACCGGCUAACUCCGUGCCAGCAGCCGCGGUAAUACGGAGGGUCCGAGCGUUAUCCGGAAUUAUUGGGUUUAAAGGGUCCGUAGGCGGGCCGAUAAGUCAGGGGUGAAAGUUUGCAGCUCAACUGUAAAAUUGCCUUUGAUACUGUUGGUCUUGAGUUAUAGUGAAGUUGCCGGAAUAUGUAGUGUAGCGGUGAAAUGCAUAGAUAUUACAUAGAACACCGAUUGCGAAGGCAGGUGACUAACUAUAUACUGACGCUGAUGGACGAAAGCGUGGGGAGCGAACAGGAUUAGAUACCCUGGUAGUCCACGCCGUAAACGAUGGAUACUAGCUGUCCGGAACCUUGAGUUCUGGGCGGCCAAGCGAAAGUGAUAAGUAUCCCACCUGGGAGUACGUUCGCAAGAUUGAAACUCAAAGGAACUGACGGGGCCCGCACCAGCGGUGGAGCAUGUGGUUUAAUUCGAUGAUACGCGAGGAACCUUACCAGGGCUUAAAUGCAUAUUGACA